rnacentral:rRNA from 1 species
AACGAACGCUGGCGGCAGGCUUAACACAUGCAAGUCGAGCGCAUCCUUCGGGGUGAGCGGCAGACGGGUGAGUAACGCGUGGGAAUCUACCUUUUGCUACGGAAUAGCUCCGGGAAACUGGACUUAAUACCGUAUGUGCCCUUAGGGGGAAAGAUUUAUCGGCAAGAGAUGAGCCCGCGUUGGAUUAGCCAGUUGGUGGGGUAAAGGCCUACCAAGGCGACGAUCCAUAGCUGGUCUGAGAGGAUGAUCAGCCACAUUGGGACUGAGACACGGCCCAAACUCCUACGGGAGGCAGCAGUGGGGAAUAUUGGACGAUGAGCGCAAGCCUGAUCCAGCCAUGCCGCGUGAGUGAUGAAGGCCUUAGGGUUGUAAAGCUCUUUCACCGGAGAAGAUAAUGACGGUAUCCGGAGAAGAAGCCCCGGCUAACUUCGUG